rnacentral:rRNA from 2 species
UUUGGUGGCGAUAGCGAAGAGGUCACACCCGUUCCCAUGCCGAACACGGAAGUUAAGCUCUUUAGCGCCGAUGGUAGUCGGGGGUUUCCCCCUGUGAGAGUAGGACGCCGCCAAGC